UACGUAGGGACCAAGCGUUGUUCGGAUUUACUGGGCGUAAAGGGCGCGUAGGCGGCAUGACAAGUCACUUGUGAAAUCUCCGGGCUUAACUCGGAACGGUCAAGUGAUACUGUCGUGCUAGAGUGCGGAAGGGGCAAUCAGAAUUCUUGGUGUAGCGGUGAAAUGCGUAGAUAUCAAGAGGAAUACCUGAGGUGAAGACGGGUUGCUAGGCCGACACUGACGCUGAAGCGCGAAAGCCAGGGGAGCAAACGGG
rnacentral:rRNA from 1 species